rnacentral:rRNA from 1 species
AUGAUCCACCGAAACAUCGUCGGCAUUUGUUGGUUCAAGGAUUUUGAAUGGCUCGAGUUUUCACCUUACACAAAGCGUGCAUAUUGCUUCCAUUGUUUCCUCUUCUCAAGAAAGCCGAUUGGGAAGUGCGGCUCAGAAACAUUUACUGUUUGGGGCUUUGAUAGGAGGAAGAAGGUGAAUAAUGGGAAAGAGUGUGCUUUUUUAACUCAUAUGGGUAAAGCUGGUUCAGCCCAUAACUUCUCAGUUCGUUGUUGUGAUAAUUUUAAAAACAGCACUCAUAUUGAUAAGGUGUUUGGGAAAGAAUCCGCAAAAACGAUUUUAGAUGCAAGGCUAAGGCUCAAAGUUACAAUUGAUUCCAUCCAGUAA